GCUUAUCACCAUUCCAGAUUGAAUAUACCCGAUCUCGUCUGAUCUCGGAAGUCAAGCAAUCUCGGGCUUGGUUAGUACUUGGAUGGGUGACCG
rfam:Ciona savignyi cont_37958, whole genome shotgun sequence.